rnacentral:rRNA from 1 species
GAUUCUGGCUCAGGAUGAACGCUGGCGGCGUGCUUAACACAUGCAAGUCGAACGGACGGAAUGGAGCUUGCUCCAUGAAGUUAGUGGCGGACGGGUGAGUAACGCGUGGGUAACCUGCCCUAUGCAGGGGGAUAACGUUUGGAAACGAACGCUAAUACCGCAUAACCUAGAAGGUUCGCAUGAACCAUCUAGCAAAGAUUUUAUCGGCAUAGGAUGGACCCGCGUUGGAUUAGCUAGUUGGUGAGAUAAAAGCUCACCAAGGCGACGAUCCAUAGCCGGCCUGAGAGGGUGAACGGCCACACUGGGACUGAGACACGGCCCAGACUCCUACGGGAGGCAGCAGUGGGGAAUAUUGCACAAUGGGCGCAAGCCUGAUGCAGCGACGCCGCGUGAAGGAUGAAGGUUUUCGGAUCGUAAACUUCUAUCAGCAGGGAGGAACCAAAUGACGGUACCUGACUAAGAAGCCCCGGCUAACUACGUGCCAGCCGCUGC